UCCGGACUCCGUUUUGAGUGAUUCUUGAGCCUAAAAUCAAGCCCCGGAAGUCUAGUUUCCAUUGAUGGUAGUCUAACUCCCAAAUUAUAAUUACAGAAAUAGUUAUGCCCAAAUUAGUGAGAGUUGCUCACUUUCUAUCUACCGAUUUUGUGCCAUUUCUUCACUGAAACUAUUUUCCUAUCGAUUCCUCCUAUCUUCUGAGGCAUGGAUUAUAACCUAUGGAGGACUAAUGAGUUUAGAACCACCAUGGCUAUUGAUUAAGGAAUAAGAAAGAGAUUGGUUUUAUCCUCAUAAUCUGCUAUGUGCAUUGUGUUUGUAGGUCAAGACGAGGACAUCGUUCCACCGCUAUCAGAGACCUACCACUGUGAGUAGUAGUACUAUAAAUAUACAUUUAGGAUCUUUAAUGAUUCUUAUUAUUAACACUCUGUUCUUUGCAAGUAAUUACGUUAACGUUUACGUUGUUUGGAAAUAAAUUCAGAAUGUAAAUCCCGCUUACCGGAAAUAUGAGAUUUUGAAGGUCCUACCAGGGACUUCUAUAGUCUAUAUGUUGCAAUACAUGCCUUAUGACAUAGAUGUUUGCCUAAUAUGAUCACCGGAAAUAAUAAACAAAUAAAGCUACAGGGUGUUUUAUACGUUAAUGACUACUGAGGAAGGAACUGGAAAUCAAUACCUUUAUCGUGUGACUCGCGUUAUAAGGUGAAUUAUUCUGUCCCUACUGAUCGUACAAUAAUGAUACCUGUGACUUCUGUCGAUGAGUAUUGUUAAUGUUCUGAGACGUAUAAGAUAAUUAUGUUGAAUUGCAAGGGGACAUGGGGUAUCUUAUGAACACUAUUAUGAAUUAUAUUUUUAUGGACCUAGGGAUAUUCUGUUCUGUUUAAUUGAUAUGUUUAUGCCAUGACAUGAUAUAAAUUGUUCUGUUAGUACUUCGAUGUGCCUUUAACCGUUAAUAUUUAUUGUUAUUGACGUUAUAUUCUUCGCAAAAAUCAUGUUGACAUGUAUGCUAUGUGAGAAACAUUGUGAAAUUAUGGAAACAUCAAAAGAACUUGUGAAAUAUGAAUCUGUGAGGCUGAGGGUAACUUGUGAAAUAUGAAUCCACGGGGCCGAGGGCCAACUUGUGAAACUAUGAAUCCAAAAGGCCAAGGGCCAAUUUGUGAAGUCAUGAACCUCAAUUAUGAAUCUAUAAAGCCAAAGGCUAAUUUGUGAAUAUGUGAACCCAUCAGGCCAAGGGCCAAAUUGUGAAGUUGUGAACCGACAAAGUCAUUCUGCAAUGAUUUACGGAAUCAGACUAAUUACAUGAUUUCUGCAUUACUUACGCUUUUAUAUGUGUUACAAGUUUAAUUGAGUAUUAACGCAUUCAAGUACUAUUAUUCACUGAGCCUAUGUAGGUGAGCCAUCGGGGAUUAGCACUAGAAUUGUAUUGAGGUCAACCUGUUUGCCAAGCCGUCUGGGGUACGCCUCCGUGUUGAGGCCUUAAUUUUGAUUACUGGGAGUUAUGUAAUUUCUGGAGUUUUAUUUAAGUGUGUGUGAGGUCUGUAUAAUUCUGUGAUUGUAUAUGUAACUAUGGGAAUGUAUUUAACUGCUAAAUUACUUAAGCCAUCAUGUAUGCACAAGCUCAAUGGAUGUUGUCUUUUAUUGAUAUUACUUCCGCUUAAGGCCCUGUAUGUGAAUAAAUAUUAUUCUAAAAUUUCUGUUUUGAGGCCUACAUACAGGCCAGUCAUGGACCAAACUUUUAGGGGCAGGUUUGGGUCGUGACAGGUUCAAACUCAACUCAGAGUGGAAAAAGGUCCAAAAAUGAAACUCAUAGGUUCAAACAAGGUAAAUGUUAAGGAUUUGAGGUUAUUUCGAGAGCCUGAUUGAAUCCGAAUCGCUGCGAAUUCACAAUUCAUCUUUCAUCAUCGAGUGUAUCGAACCAAGCGCCUAAGUCUUGCGGGCGGUCAAAAACGGAGUGUCUACAGUUGCCCCUCUUUGAUAGAGCUCGAAGUCAUGAAAUGACGUGAGUGAAUGUCAAAGCUUAGAGACGACCCAUUUUGACAAGGUCGUAAGACUUGAGAAAGAAAGGAAGACAUAAAUAAAAUGGUUACGCCCUCAGGCUGGUUACGUACCCCCUUUGCAAGGAAUCAAACCAAUGUAGUUCAGGGGCAAAAUGCAAUUGAUAUGCACAAUGCAAUUUUGGAAGUUGGACUUACAUGCCACGCAAAGCCGGUGCUUUUAAAACUUAUGAUCAUGCGAGAUGAUGUAAUAAGCAAUAACAAAAUAAGCAAGAUAACGAGAUAACAUAUGAAUGAGCAGCUUCAAGCUAAAAAAGUGAAAAGAAAACACCACUCAGGGUUGCGUUUCACACAUCUUGAGAAACUGAGAACAAAAAUCACUCGGGGUUGUGCUUCGCACGUCCCGAGAAACAAGAAACUGCUCAAGGUCGCGUUUCACGCAACUUGAGAAACAAGCACUCGGGACCAUGCUUCGCACGUCUCGAAGUAAAACCCAUCCAGGGCUGCGUUUCAUGCGUCUUGAGAAACAACCACUCAUUCAAGACCGUGUUUCAUGCCUCUUGAGAAACAACCACUCGGGCACGUACUUCGUAUGUCCCAAGGUAAAACCCGCCCAAGGCCACGUUUCACGUGUCCUGAGAAAUAACCAUUCACUUAAGACCGUGUUUUAUGCAUCCUGAGAAACAACCACUCGGGCGCGUACUUCGUACGUCUCGAGGUAAAACCCGCCUAGGGCCGUGUUUCACGCGUCCUGAGAAACAACCACUCACUCAGGGCCGUGUUUCAUGCGUCCUGAGAAACAACCAUUUAGCGCAUACGUCGUACGUCCCGAGAUCAAACCCGCCCAGGGCCGCGUUUCACGCGUCCUGAGAAACAACCACUCGGGGCGCGUACUUCGUAUAUCUCAAGGUAAAACAACAGAGGGGUGUGCGAUAGAUGCACGAAAGUGAGCAAGUGCGAUAGAUGCACAAAGUGAAUGCAUGCGAUAGAUGCACAAAGUGAACAAGUGCGAUAGAUUGACAAAGUGAACAAGUGUGAUAGAUGCACGCAAGAUCUUAGCUACAAAGCUAUGCAGGUUCUCGUACCGAGACAUGAAUGGCCUAUCCGGAACUUCUCUGAAUAAAUCAUAUAUACAAUAUCGUGUGGUAAGAAAUGACGGAAUGAAUUACGAAUUAGACAAAACAAGUCAUCAAUAAAACAAGUUACAUCAUGAAUUUAAACUAAUGAGUUUAAACAAAUCAAACAAAAAUCAAUCAAGAAUAAAAUAAAUCAAAUUAUGCACUCACGCAACAAAACAAAACAACGUGGAUAUUUUGCUCACUCUCUUUAUUUCUUUUGAUCUCUUUGCUAUUUUGCCUCUUUUUUUUUUCCUUUUUUUUCAGCACUCAUUUUUGUAUCUUUUUCAUUUUUAUUGUUAUCAUACAACUCCUUCACCCACAUUAAAACCCACAAUUAUAACUCAAAAUUAAAACCCAAAAUUAAAACAAUAAUAAAAUAAAAUAACCAGCAACACACACAAACAAAACAAAAACAAAAACAUAAUUGAAAUCACUGAAGGCCGACUGGGCCUCGGUGAUGCACGGCCAGGCUUUGAUACAGCCAGCCGGCCUUCGAUAGCGGCAAGGGCAGAAUCGAGAAAAGCCACGCUCGUGGUUGUUUAAAACACAAAACAACUCUUAUUUCCUCGCACUUCCUCAUCCGAAAACACCCCCUCCUCUCUCUCUAAACUUCCUCUCUCUCUAGAUUUCCUCUUUCUUAAGUUACCCAACAACUUUUGCAAAACUUUUCCUUGAAACCCUCUUGAUCCUCCACCAUUUGAACCAAUUGGAUUUUGAUUUGGUGAAGUUUUGAGUUUUCUCUUGAUUUUUCUUAGAUUCUCACAUAUUUACCCACACUUAUCUUGUUCCCCCUUUGAUUUUCCAUCCUCUCUUUACUUUCUCUCUCCUAGGGUUUUGGUUUUGAAAAACACCCAACCACUCACUUUUUCAACUCAUCUUUAUGGCUAGUGACGAAGUACCUAUUCUCGACCCCACCGUAGGUAUUGGUGCUGCCCUUGGUGCAGACAUGGAGGCGGAGGAGGCUGCUGCAUUGUUUUCCCUUACCGAAAGGCCCUUUGAUGGGGCUACAUACCAGCUACGUACACAUGUUCCACCCGCAGGCGGCAUCUUGAGAUUUGAGGGCUUCAUCCCAGGGCUAGAUGAGGACACUCUACUGCGAGAGCCCAUGGAGCAUAUAUUUGCCAAUGCCUCCAUGGUGAUCUCCACGAGGAUAGGCGGCUACGGCUUUAUAUUUGGCCCCCGACGUUGGUACGAGCGGCUUUCCGUUGAGGUCUGCACUUUAGUAAAUGCUGCUCACUUUAGGCCCUUUUGCUCUGGGCUUAUACAGAUGAGGGCCGAGUUUUGGCUUUAUGGGGCCCUGGUGGAGAGAUGGUGGGACACCACGGACUUAUUCCACUUUUCUUCGAUCAGGGAGAUGACACUGACCCCGUAUGACUUCUCGAUGUUGACUGGUUUGCGGGUUGGGGUCAGCAGCCCAAUGACCCAGUGGAGGGAUGCAUAACUCCAGCUUCUUGGGGCGAUCCCAGACACUACCAGCCACGGGAUGGUGCGCAACAGCUGGUUCCUAGAGCACUUUUCCGGCACUCAGCAAGCUACUACAGGUGAGGUUGCCCAGUACACCCGCGGCUUUCUUAUAUAUCUUCUUGGUACUACCGUGUUUGCGAACAGGGAAAAUACCGUGGGGUUAUAUAUUCUAGGGGCACUGGUACACCUUCCUCGGAUGGUGGAGUACGAUUGGGGUAGCACAGGCUUGGCCACCUUAUACUACUAUAUGAGCUCUGUCUCCUGCCGCAAGGCGGAUUCACUUGGCGGCUACUGGAAGGUUUGGGAGGUAUACCCUGCACUCACCUUUCUGAUAUGCUUUACAUUCUAUUCACCAUUGCAUCUCUUGUUCAUCUGAUCCAUUUUCUCAUGUCUUUUGUUUGCCUAUUUUUUCCAGCUUUGGGUGUACACACAUUUCACUUCCCUAGCUCUAGUUCCAGUGAGGCCAAUUGAGUUGUCAGUACCUUGUUCUCGGUACUAUAACUCGCGGUUCAAGCGACGUCACCUUGUAGAUCGCACAUUCCCAUACUUUCGCCGCUUCUUUGACACCAUCACGGCGGACCAGUGUCGAAGACGACCUACACUGCUGCCUAGCAUGCCUCCACAAUGAGGAUCCUGUUUGAGGGUCCCUUUGGCCGAGCUUACUAUUUAGGAGAGAGAUUCAUUCGUAGGACGCAGGGAGUUGCUGACCCUGACAUUCCAUAUUCUCCUUCUUCCAGGAUGAGGGUAGUGGAUGAUCUACAGGACGGUCCUGAGCUUGACCUUUUGAUGAUAGGCGAGGAUGGCGAUCGUCACCAUGAGCCCGGCGAUUUCACUACUUUCUUACACACUUGGGUGAUGGCGCCUUUUACCCCAGGCGUGGUUCGAGCUGUGCCAGAGGUUACUGCUGCUGCUGCUGGUAAUGCACCUAUCGAAGGUGCCCUUGCCGUUGCUCCCGUUCCUGGAUUGCCUGUGAUUCCCACUGAGAUCAUAUACAUGCGUCCAGAUGGAGCGAUCGAGUAGAUCCCACUUGAGCCCAUUGAGGAGAGAGACCGUAGACAUGUGUUUGCCCCUGGCUUUAAGCAGAUUUCCCGAGCAUUUGGUGAGGAGCUCUUUUGGAUGAUUGAUCGGCUACUCCUAAUGGUAUGGAGGAGGCAGACUGCCUUAGUCACCCAUGGGAUCGAGCUUGAGCCGGCGCCAGCAGUGCUUGUAGGACCUUCCACAGCCAGUAGGCGGAGAUGGGGCCUAGUGAGAGGCCGAGGUUGAGUGAGGUAGCGCUCGUCUUUGAGGAGUCUUUUGAUGAGUCCACGACCCCUGAGGACGAGGGAGAGAAGAUUGACCUAUAGUCGAGCAGCCCUAGCGAUGACAGUGAUGCACCUCCUCCAUAGCCGAGGAGGAAGAGAGCGAGGAUAGGCUACUGAUGACGAUGAUGAUUUUGCUUUUAUUUUGCUUUUGCUUUCGUUUUGUUAUGUAGUUAUAAAACUAGCUUCGAAUAGACCUUUGAUUUCGAAGACUUUUCUUUUGUUUUUGCUUUGUAAAACAAUGAUCGGGGUUGGUCCCACCAGUUAUAAAAGACAAGUUUUUGU